rnacentral:rRNA from 1 species
GACGAACCGAGCGAACGUUGUUCGGAAUCACUGGGCUUAAAGGGCGCGUAGGCGGGGGCUCAAGUCCGUGGUGAAAUCCUCCGGCUCAACCGGAGAACUGCCUCGGAUACUGGGCGUCUCGAGUGUGGUAGGGGUAUGCGGAACUAUCGGUGGAGCGGUGAAAUGCGUUGAUAUCGAUAGGAACUCCGGUGGCGAAGGCGGCAUACUGGACCACCACUGACGCUGAUGCGCGAAAGCCAGGGGAGCAAACGGG